AUAAGUAAGAAUUUAAUUUUGGUUCAGAUGAAACGUUAUUCAGUAGUAUAAGACAUGCGAAUCGUUAUUAACAAGAUUUAAAAAAUUAUUAGAAAUAAUAAAAUUUUAAAUUAAGUGAUAAGGUGUAAAGGUGAGUAUAGUAAAUAAGAUACCCUAAAAUCUUCGUAAAUUGAAGAUAAAUAAUUAGAUAUAAAAUAAAUUAGCCUUAAAAUUUUAUUUUAAUAUUGUAUUAUUAUUUAAUACUUAAUUAAUAAGUAAUUAAGAUAGGCUAUUAAUAAUUAAAUUAGCAUUAAAGGAAAUUUUCCGUUUUAGGAUUCUAUUUAUUUUGAGUAGAUAGUUGGAAGGGUAACGGCCUAACCAAGUCGACGAUCAAAAGCUAAGCUUGAAAGAGCCAAUGGUCACAUUGGGAGUGAAAUGCCCCAAGUAAUAGCAUAUUACCAGCAGUCAAGAAUAUUAGUCAAUGCUCGACAGAGUGAACUAGCUAACUGAAAUCAUGAAUGUGUCAUUUAUGAUAAGGUAAGAAAAAAUAAUGAUAUUAUCUUACUAAUAGUGUCGUCCAAAUCUGGUGCCAGAAGACUCGGUAAGGCCAGAGACGCAAACGUUGGUCGUCAUAAACAGGCGUAAAGGGUGUGUAGGCGGCUUUAUAAGUUUAAAAUUUAGAUAGCCAUAAUAAAAAAUUAAAUUUUAAAUUAAAUAAAGCUAGAAUCUAAAAGAAGAUAAGCUAAACAACAGUUAAGUAGGUUUGUGAGCCGCAAAUAUAACUAAGAGUACUAAAGGUUAAAGCUAUUUAUCUACUAAAGAUUGACGCUGAGAAACUAAGGGGAGGAACGAAAAAAGGAUUAGAUACCCUAGUAUCCCUCUCAGUCAACUAUGAAUGGUAGUCGUUAGUGUUUGAAAAUAAUAUUCCCUCUAAAAAAACCAUAUUAUUUUUAGCUAGUGUCGAAGUUAACAUGAUAACCAUUCCGCCUUGUGAGUAAUACUGCAAAGUAGAAAACAAAAAAAUUAGUCGGUCUUGAGGCAAACGAAGUGAAGCAUGUUAUUUAAUACGAUAAUCCGCGUACAAUCUUACCAGCUCUUGUAUAUUUCUUCUUAAAAUUUAGUUUUUUUAAUAUACUAAAGCCACUUAUUUCAAUAUUUUAAUUAAAAAAAUAUAAUAUUAAAAAACUGUCUUUUAAUAAUAUUAAAAUUUUAAUUUUAUUUCUGUUAUAUUAUAUAAUUUUAUUUAAAAAUUUAUUUAAGGGAAAGAAGAAAAUUAUAUUUAUAUAUAAUUACUACAGGUGUUGCAUGGCUGUCGUCAGUCCGUGUUGUGAAAAGUUUGGUUAAAUCCGUGAACGGACAAAAUCCCUGGUGUUAAUUUUUACUUAACACACAAUAAUAAUUAUAAGUUAUUAUUUGGGGCUAAGACAAGUCUUUAUGGCCCUCAUGAGCUGGGCUAUAGACGUGCCACAAAAACUUUUACAAAGUGAUGCAAGUUUAUUUUUAUUUUUUAUAAUUUUAUUUUAUAAUUUAUAAAAUAUUUAAAGGAGCAAAUCAUUAAAGAAAGUUAAAAUAUUAAUUGAGAUGGAUUGUUCUCUGAAACCCGGGAGCAUGAAAAAGGAAUUUCGAGUAAUCGUUGAUCAUUACGCAACGGUGAAGACUGCACUCAGGAUGAACUAACUGUCUGUCACUGGGAAGGAGCUGAAAUUGGAGGAAGCUGUUAUUCUAUAGCUCUUAUUUGCAAUGCCGCUGCUUAAAUUAAGAUUAAUUUUUAAUUUUCACCGAUUAGGAAUUGAUUUGACCGUUAAGUUAGCAGUUUAAAGAUUGGAUUUUCCUUAAUUGGAUAUUUUGAUUAAUUUGUUUUUUAACAAAUAAAAUUGUGCUGUUUUUACUGUUUAUAUGUAACAGAUAUAAUAUAAGUUUACAGAUUACUGAUCUAAUCUAAAUUAACAUUGGUUGCAAAGAGAAUGGGAAAUCAAUGAAUUCGUUUGAGUAACAUUUCAAAAGUCAUAGCAAGGUAGCCGUACUGGAAAGUGCUGCUGAAAAAUAAAACGU
rnacentral:rRNA from 1 species